rnacentral:rRNA from 1 species
UACGUAGGGUGCAAGCGUUAAUCGGAAUUACUGGGCGUAAAGCGUGCGCAGGCGGUUUUGUAAGACUGUCGUGAAAUCCCCGGGCUCAACCUGGGAAUGGCGAUGGUGACUACAAGGCUAGAGUUUGGCAGAGGGGGGUAGAAUUCCACGUGUAGCAGUGAAAUGCGUAGAUAUGUGGAGGAACACCGAUGGCGAAGGCAGCCCCCUGGGUCAAAACUGACGCUCAUGCACGAAAGCGUGGGGAGCAAACAGG